GUCUAUAUGUCAAAUGUGUUGCUGAUUGGUCAAUAAAUAAAUCACUGAUUGGCCAUUGGCUAGGCAGGAAGUAUAGGCGGGACAAGGAGGAGAAUAGAGCUGGGAAGUGGAAGGCUGAGGGAGAGACACUGCCAGCCGCCAUCAGGACAAGGAAGAUGUAAAGUACCGGUAAGCCACAAGCCAUGUGGCAAGGUAUAGAUUAAUAGAAAUGGAUUAAUUUAAGCUGUAAGAACAGUUAACAAGAAGCCUGCCACGGCCAUACAGUUUGUAACCAAUAUAAGUCUCGGUGUUUACUUGAUCGGGUUUGAGCGGCUUGGGACUGGCGGGUGAGAGAGAUUUGUCCUGACUGUGGGCCAGGCAGGAAAACUCUAGCAACAAAUGGCGUCCAACGUGGUGACAAGAGUUUCCACCUAAAACCUGAGAUAAAAAGAUUCUAAAACGGAGCUAAAAACAGCUUCCUAAUUGUCUCUCUCAAAUGAGCGGCAGCUGCCGGUUUGAGCUACUGGCGGGUUGCUGGCGUGCGCGCUCGACCUGCAGUAUGGCGGGAAUGAGGCCUCUGCAAGUGGCACAUUAAGCUACAUUAUGGAUUUAGCCUUUGCUAAUACAAAACAAAAAAAGAGGUUUCUGGGCUACACGCUGCUUGGAUAAAAGCAUAGACCCACAAUAGCUCCCAGAGCUGGUGGUAAAACUACAGUACCGCCGCCGCCAUGUUGGGAAGCUGAGGUGGGCGGAGCCAGCUGCCACAGUUGCUGCAGCUUAAAGCAAUAGAUUCACAAUAAGACAGAUUCAGAUGUAAUAGUUUAAAAUGUGUGUAAAAUAUACGUAGGCUUGAAAGAGACAAAAAAAGGUGAUACAUACAGUAUAGAAACAAAUACAUGGUUUUAAAAAAUAAAGUCUUUAAAGAGACAGUAAAAUUAAUAUAAAAAAUAAGCCACGUAGAGAUGACUAUUACACAGAGAGUCUGGAUUGUGUUGUCUUUGGGAUUCUUAACUACAGAGAGAUAUUUGAUUGUAAAGGAAGCUGAGUUAAACCAGUAUGUAUAUUUUAAAGAUACUUUGACUUCAAAAUUUGGAUGUAAGGAUAUGUUGCUUUGGAAAAGAGUCUCUUUUGUUUCCACAGAAAGCAAGAGGCUAUGGAUUUGUUCCAGAUUAAGACACAUCAGGUUUGACCAGCCAAGACCACCUGAAAGGUCUCCGAUGACACCAUGGCCCAGAUGAUCCAACAUCCAGAACCGUUUCAAGGCAACUGGCUCAGAUGAUACAGCCUCACGGACUACUCCAUGAUCCUAAAAUUUUCUUUGUUUCCCCAGAAGAUACAGCGCCCCCCUCCAGCAGGAAGUAGUAAGAGAAGCUACGCCCAAAUUCCCAAAUAUACCAAGCUGACUUUGGAGAUGUGUAAAGGUUAAAACCUUCCUUUUUAAGAAAAGAAAAGGGGAAGUGAUGUGGGAUGGUCUAUAUGUCAAAUGUGUUGCUGAUUGGUCAAUAAAUAAAUCACUGAUUGGCCAUUGGCUAGGCAGGAAGUAUAGGCGGGACAAGGAGGAGAAUAGAGCUGGGAAGUGGAAGGCUGAGGGAGAGACACUGCCAGCCGCCAUCAGGACAAGGAAGAUGUAAAGUACCGGUAAGCCACAAGCCAUGUGGCAAGGUAUAGAUUAAUAGAAAUGGAUUAAUUUAAGCUGUAAGAACAGUUAACAAGAAGCCUGCCACGGCCAUACAGUUUGUAACCAAUAUAAGUCUCGGUGUUUACUUGAUCGGGUUUGAGCGGCUUGGGACUGGCGGGUGAGAGAGAUUUGUCCUGACUGUGGGCCAGGCAGGAAAACUCUAGCAACAGGAUAAGCUUUGAUGGACACCAGCCACCAGGAAGCUCUUCACCUGGGAGGGCAUCAGAGAGAACAGCAGGUCUUCUGAGACAUCUGUGCUGAUGUUCUGAAUCAAGGCCUUAACAAAAGGCAUGUCCACAGUCUCCAUGGAAUUCUCCAACAGAACAUUGAAGCACACACUAUGUGGUCUUCUGAGUCUGGCUUCUUACACUUAGCACAUUGUUUUCCAUUCAUGAAUUGAGAUUUCAGUCCUUCUGAAUGAAACACACCCAUCUACUGAUGAGCAUAUAGAUGCACUUCUCCACUGAUGAGCAAGCAUGGAUCUUUGGAUAUCACCAUUGACGGGCACAAGGACCUUUGCAUCCAUCCUCUGAUGUACAUACAGUUCUGUGCACCCACCCACUGAUGGGCAUUUGAAUAUUUCCCACUGUGAUGGACAGUGUUUGUCAACUUGGCACAAAUUAGAGUCACCUGGGAAGAGGAGCUGAGAGAUUGAAUCCAUCAUAUUGUCCUACAGGCAUGUCUGUGGGGCAUUUUCUUGAUUAAUGAUUGAUGAUGUGUGCCCAGUCCACUAUGAUCCUGGGUUGUAUUAGAAAGCAAGAUGAAUGAGUCAUGGGGAAUGAGCAGCAAGGAGCAUCACUCCAGAUUCUCUGCUUCAGUUCCUGCCUCUAGGUUCCUGCUUGAGUUCCUGCCUCUGACUCUCCUCGUAAUGAUGGACUGUGUUGUGGACAUGAAAGUCAAAUAAACCCUUUCUUCCCAUAAGUUGCUUUGGGCUAUGGUAUUUAUCACAGUGACAGAAAGCUGAGUAGAACACCCACCUUUCAGGUAUUGUGAAUAGGUCUGCUGUACAAAUUCAUAUAUGAGCAUUCAUGGAAGACUUAUUUUAAAUUCUCUGGGCAUGUACACAGGAGUAGAAUUGUUAGGUCAUAUGGUAAUUCUCCAUUUAGCUUCUUGAACAGCUACCAAGUGGUUUUCCACAGCAGCUGCACCAUUUCACACUUGCUCCUGCAGUGUAUGGAAGCUCCAGUAGUCUUGCCAACACAAUGGUCUUGUUUUGUGUCCUUUUUAACUGUACCCAUGGGUACAAGAGGUGUCUCAUGGUAGUUUUGAUUUGUAUCUUUUUAAUGACCCAGCGACAUUGAAUAUCUUCUCACAUGCUUUUGGCUUUGCAUAUCUUAUUUGAAUAAAUCUCUUCAGGCA